GGAUGUUUGGGCCAUCUGGCUGCAUCUGUCACCUCAUUAAUCACCAGGGUUGAUUUGGCUCAUCUGGCUGGCUAGGCGGGUGUCCCCUUCCUCACCAUUCCAUGUGUGACCUUCCCAAAGCUUUACGCCUUGUGGAAGAGGUGGAAGAGGACAACCAUCCCUGGUAGAAGAGGACUGUUCUUCGGUCAAGGGUAUAGGAGUAGCUGCGCUCCUCUGCUAGAACCUCCAAACAAGCUCUCAAAAUCACUCAGUCAGGUAGUUCAAUGAUUGUUCAUAGAGCAGACUUAUUUUCUAUAAAUAAAUGUUACAGGGAAAACAAAG
rnacentral:snRNA from 1 species